UACCUGCAGCCCGAGUGGUGAUCGAUAUUAUUGAGCCUAAAGCGUCCGUAGCCGGACCAGUAAACCCUUGGGUAAAUCGGGCAGCUUAACUGUCCGAAUUCCGAGGGGACUGCUGGUCUUGGAACCGGGAGAGGUCAGAGGUACUCCAGGGGUAGGGGCUAAAUCCUGUAAUCCUUGGGGGACCACCAGUGGCGAAGGCGUCUGACUAGAACGGAUUCGACGGUAAGGGACGAAACCCUGGGGCGCAAACCGGAUUAGAUACCCCCGUA
rnacentral:rRNA from 1 species